UCUGCCUCUCUUAGCGGCGUCUUCCGCCAGGUCGUUGGCACGUCGCUCCGGAGCUGGGGCCACGCCUUCCCAGCGGGCAGUUUCCCAACCGCCGUUGCUAAGCGGCCGUUACCUGGCCGCGCGGUGCUGGGCGGCGGCGGUUGCAGACGGUGGUCACCGGGCCUCAGGAGGUGACCAUGGAAAAAGAGCUUCGGAGCACCAUUCUUUUCAACGCAUACAAAAAGGAAGUCUUCACCACCAGCAACGGCUAUAAAUCUAUGCAGAAAAGACUUCGCAGUCAUUGGAAAAUUCAGAGUUUAAAAGAUGAAAUCACACCUGAGAAGCUCAUUGGGGUGAAACUAUGGAUUACAGCUGGGCCGAGGGAAAAAUUUACUGCAGCUGAGUUUGAAAUCCUAAAGAAAUACCUUGAUGGUGGUGGAGACAUCCUUGUGAUGCUAGGAGAGGGUGGGGAAUCCAGAUUUGAUACCAACAUUAACUUUCUCCUAGAAGAAUAUGGAAUCAUGGUUAAUAAUGAUGCUGUGGUUAGAAAUGUGUAUUAUAAGUAUUUCCAUCCUAAAGAAGCUCUAGUUUCCAAUGGAGUCUUGAAUAGGGAGAUUAGCAGAGCUGCGGGGAAGGCCGUGCCUGGGAUUCUUGAUGAGGAGAGCAGUGGAAACAACGCCCAGGCUCUCACCUUUGUCUAUCCUUUUGGUGCCACGUUGAGUGUCACGAAACCCGCCGUGGCUGUUCUGUCCACAGGCUCUGUCUGUUUCCCGCUUAACAGACCCAUCCUGGCUUUCUAUCACUCGAAGAACCAAGGUGGGAAACUGGCAGUGCUCGGCUCAUGUCACAUGUUCAGUGACCAGUAUUUGGAUAAAGAAGAAAACAGCAAAAUCAUGGAUGUUGUUUUCCGGUGGCUCACAACAGAAGACAUCCACCUAAACCAGAUUGAUGCCGAGGACCCAGAGAUUUCCGACUACAUGAUGCUGCCUGACACAGCCGCCCUGUCCGAGCGGCUGCGAGUGUGUCUCCAGGAGGGCGAUGAGAACCCGCGGGACUUCACCAGCCUCUUCGACCUGUCCCUUUACCAGCUGGAUACUACCUCCCUCCCGAAGGUCAUCAAGGCUUAUGAACAGCUCAACGUGAAACAUGAACCUCUCCAGCUCAUCCAGCCUCAGUUUGAGACGCCACUGCCAGCUCUUCAGCCAGCAGUGAGUAGGUUUUCCCUCCUAGUUUCAGGGAAUUACCACCUCCUCCGCUGGAGCUGUUUGACUUAGAUGAGACGUUCUCCUCUGAGAAGGCCCGGCUUGCUCAGAUUACCAAUAAGUGUACUGAAGAAGACCUGGAAUUCUAUGUCAGGAAGUGUGGCGACAUCCUUGGAGUCACCAAUAAACUCCCAAAGGACCGGCAAGAUGCCAAACAUAUCCUUGAGCACAUCUUCUUCCAAGUGGUGGAGUUCAAGAAGUUGAACCAGGAACAUGACAUUGACACACGGCAUUCCAGAACAGCCUCUGCGGACCAAGCCUCUUGAAGCAUUUUCUGCCUCCCGAUUCUUCGUAAACUUUUUGAAUUAUCCCUCAGUUUUUUAUGAAAACUGUCUAUACAGUCUUUCCUCUCUGACCUGUGGGAAGGUCUGUGCAUCUUCUGUAGUGCUCAGAGAGGGACAACAUUUCUUAUGUAAGUUAUGUUCCAUUUUUUAAAUUAAAUGUUUGAAUCUGUACUUUGAUAAUUGA